GAAUAGAUAGUAGAGAACAAGAGAUACGGCGAUUGAUAAAUAAUCUUAUCCUUUCCUCAUCUUGCAUCUAUGAAAACCAAAACCAAACAUACCUACGGCUACGGAAAGACGGAGGAUUCCAGCUUCAAUUGGAACUGGAAAGUAAACGACUACAAUAACAAGAACCGUGGAAAGCAAUCCCCGGUAACUGAAUUCCUCCAAGACAACUACCGUAAGCUGGAGGAAACAGUGUUAGGUCCUGGAGGCGGCUUAGGGAUUGGAUGCGGCAUUGGGGUGGGUUUCGGUUUGGUUGGUGGUAUCGGUUAUGGUGGCUGGCCGUGGAACCAUCUUAAGCUAGUAUUUGGGGUCGGCAUGGGCUGUGGUGUGGGAUUCGGGUUCGGAUAUGGGUGUGGGCUGGGCUAUGGUCGUAGCUUGGAUUCGUUGCAGUCUCAAAUGGAUAAGAGGAAGUCAGCUUCUGGCAACAAGGCAAUUUGGUGAGGUACAUAAAUUACGAAUUUUUCAUUUGAUCGAUUGUCAUGCCAAUGUGCGUUACAUUUGCUUUUAUUUUUUGAGGCUCUAAUGGGAUUGAAUCUUGUAACAUUAUAAUCCUGAAAACUAUUUGAGUUUGGCUUAAUGGUGGGGAUUAUAUUUGUAUAGGGAUUUCUUAUUAUAUUUGUAUAGGGAUUUCUUUCUCAUUUUGAUUUAUACUAACUAGGAACCAUAGAGCAUAACUAGCUUUAUUUGAUUUAUAUUGCCAUCAUUCCUUCAGAAUCCCAUGUCUCAUACUUUGCAUCUUUGUUCUUCAUUUGAAGGAUAUCAGUAGCCUUACUCUUUUAAGAAGUAUUCUUUCGAGGAAAAACACCAAACGUUUAGGUUACUGCAAAAGAGGUGCCAUAGGUUGCAUGGGCGAAGGAAAGUAGCUCAACCUGUGAUUAAAAUUAUUGAACAUCAUUCUCCCAACUUCAGGGUGCUGGUCCCAAGCGCAUAGGUCCAUUCAGUUGAGGAGAUUAUCAUUACUCUGUGCAGCCUCAGAUAGUAAGAUUCAAUGAAAUUUUUGGUGUCAGUCAACAAUGUUAGCGGCCAGCUCCCCAAAAAUAUGGGUUGGAUGGAAGCAUCCAAGGAUAACCCUUAUGAACACAUCUUUGAAGUGGCUGGGCACUUGAUUAUCUAUUUGCUUCGUAUCAAGAAUAGAUUGUGCCCAGUUGAAUGUAGAUUGCUAUUGUUCCUUUGCUUGUAGUCCUCCACAUUAUCACCAAUGUUUUGAGUUUUUUGAAACGAUUCCACGCCAUUUUGACUUGGAUAUGUUUGCAUCACAAUUUGUGUUUCUUUCAUCAUGGUUAUGCAAUUUAGAGUCUGGUUUGCCA
rnacentral:misc_RNA from 1 species